CGCACUAUCGCCAGGCAGACAGCCCGCUGUGCCUGCCGGAGAGGACAGAUCGCUGGCACCACACGGGCCCGACCAGCAUGCGUGGACGCCCGGAUAGUGAAAAGUAAGCAGUGGUGUGAGAUGUCCCCGUGUUCAGAGGGUGAGAUCUGCGGACUUCUCUUCAAUCGCUCCGGAUGGACCUGCACCAAAGGCGGCGGCCGCAUUAAAACCGUCACACCUCUGCCCAAGGAGCCAUCCUAAAGGACUUCAGAUUGCUGUGAGGAGGUUUGCUGACAUUCACAGGAGCAACGCCAAACAGGAAUCAUCCAUCAGCCCCCACACAUUUGUGUCCAUCCUCUCAUUUCAGAGCUAAAGAUAUCAGCUGCCCCUCUCCACGUCACCCUCAAACAGGAAAUGGAAUCCGUGCGCCAUGGUUGCAGUCAGUCAAGCGUCUCUACAGUUACAUGCAGGUCAUCGAGUCCCAGCAGACGCCAUCGUCUCACAGCUGGGGACACAAAACAUUUUCAAACCUUGACAUAAAAAACUGUUUAAGUUUUGAUCUCAAAAUACAUUAGCUAGGAGAACAUUUCACUCGCUUUCCAGUUAAACCGCCAGAGACUGUUCGCGUACCUUU